AUGGCUCAGAUUGAACGCUGGCGGCAUGCCUUACACAUGCAAGUCGAACGGUAACAGGUCUUCGGAUGCUGACGAGUGGCGAACGGGUGAGUAAUACAUCGGAACGUGCCUAGUAGUGGGGGAUAACUACUCGAAAGAGUGGCUAAUACCGCAUGAGAUCUACGGAUGAGAGCAGGGGAUCGCAAGACCUUGUGCUACUAGAGCGGCUGAUGGCAGAUUAGGUAGUUGGUGGGAUAAAAGCUUACCAAGCCGACGAUCUGUAGCUGGUCUGAGAGGACGAUCAGCCACACUGGGACUGAGACACGGCCCAGACUCCUACGGGAGGCAGCAGUGGGGAAUUUUGGACAAUGGGCGAAAGCCUGAUCCAGCAAUGCCGCGUGCAGGAUGAAGGCCUUCGGGUUGUAAACUGCUUUUGUACGGAACGAAAAGCUUCGGGCUAAUACCCUGGAGCCAUGACGGUACCGUAAGAAUAAGCACCGGCUAACUACGUGCCAGCAGCCGC
rnacentral:rRNA from 1 species